rnacentral:rRNA from 1 species
UACAGAGGUCCCAAGCGUUGUUCGGAUUCAUUGGGCGUAAAGGGUGCGUAGGCGGCGCGGUAAGUCGGGUGUGAAAUCUCGGGGCUUAACUCCGAAACUGCAUUCGAUACUGCCGUGCUUGAGGACUGGAGAGGAGACUGGAAUUUACGGUGUAGCGGUGAAAUGCGUAGAUAUCGUAAGGAAGACCAGUGGCGAAGGCGGGUCUCUGGACAGUUCCUGACGCUGAGGCACGAAGGCCAAGGGAGCAAACGGG